rnacentral:rRNA from 1 species
AUUGAACGCUGGCGGCAGGCCUAACACAUGCAAGUCGAGCGGAUGAAGGGAGCUUGCUCCUGGAUUCAGCGGCGGACGGGUGAGUAAUGCCUAGGAAUCUGCCUGGUAGUGGGGGAUAACGUCCGGAAACGGGCGCUAAUACCGCAUACGUCCUGAGGGAGAAAGGGGGGGAUCUUCGGACCUCACGCGAUCAGAUGAGCCUAGGUCGGAUUAGCUAGUUGGUGGGGUAAAGGCCUACCAAGGCGACGAUCCGUAACUGGUCUGAGAGGAUGAUCAGUCACACUGGAACUGAGACACGGUCCAGACUCCUACGGGAGGCAGCAGUGGGGAAUAUUGGACAAUGGGCGAAAGCCUGAUCCAGCCAUGCCGCGUGUGUGAAGAAGGUCUUCGGAUUGUAAAGCACUUUAAGUUGGGAGGAAGGGCAGUAAGUUAAUACCUUGCUGUUUUGACGUUACCAACAGAAUAAGCACCGGCUAACUUCGUG